ensembl:snRNA U6 U6 spliceosomal RNA
UUUUAUUUUGCAUUACGAAUCCCCUAAAAUUGGAAUGAUAGAGAGAAGAUUAGCAUGGCCCCUGUGGAAGGAUGAGCAUUCCAUAUGAAGUUUUUU